AGGAUGUGAGCAGGUACCUCCCAGGAAACUGAGCACAGAGGACGCAGCAGCUGGUCCCUCACCCCUGCUCUCGCCGUAUCACCCUGUCUCCCACCCCACACAAAGGGUGAACAGCCAGCAAGUUUCCCGGAGAGGAUGGGCACAUGACCUCGACCUAGCCAAUCAGUAUGUUUCAUCCUCCCUGGCCACCGUGAUUGGCUCAGGGGUGGGCUAGUGACCAAUCAGGGCCCAGGGUGGGGCCUUGUGCUGGAAUCCUGGGGAAGAGAAGCUGUGUUUCGCUUGCCCAGCCCGCGGUAGCUGGAGGGGACGCGAAGUCAGCCCGCAGCAGCUGGUGGGGACGCGAGGUCAGUCCGGGGCAGUUGGAGGGGACUUGACCUCAGCCUGGGGCAGUUGGUGGCCGUCUUACUCCCAUCAAGGUAGAGCCGCCUGCGUGAGGAUGACACCAGUAAGCAGAACCCAGAGGCGGGGAGAGACCGUUUCUGCUGACGUCCGUGAGCUCCAGGUGCAGCCCUGCCGUAAGCGGUCCACCUGUGGACUUAUUUACGCUGUCUGCUGCAUGAGAAUGGAGACCAGGUGUCUGGAGCUUGCCCAGCACACAGUAAGGCCUCAGUGAACGUGCACUGGGUGUGUGGACGCUGAGGCCACAGACGAGAACGUUCCAGGCAGUGAUGAAGCUGCAAUGAAGGCUCCUGUCCAUCUGUCUGUCCAUCCACGGCUCUGGGCUCCUCCGCCUCCUGCCCUCCCCAUGCUCCCUGCGUGGUGUGUCCUCCCUCUCCUCCAGGACUGACAGAUUUCCUCUUGGAUGUCUGGGGGAGCGUCAGCCUGCGUGGAUGCAGUAGAAGAGCAAAAACCAGAAAGAUGAUACGUUAGAAUUUUCACACCAUCAGAUAAAAGGUAAAAUUAACUCAGCGGCAUCUCAUAGCAUUAAAUUUAACAGCAGGAGAUACGAGGAAUCAAUUUAAAUAGGACGAGUUACUCAACCUCAGUGGUGGUCACGAAAAAAAAUUACCAUAUUGCCUUGAUACACUUAUACAUCAGAGAGAAAAAGAGACUGUAAUAAAUAUCUCUUGUUCAGCAAAUGGAAAGAAGCUUUUUCAUACACACUUUUAUGGAUUGUACACAGUUUGGGGUCUUGCAGGCACUGUGAUGGUGAAAUAAGUUUGAUAGACAAUUUUGGAGGAUAUAUCACUAUUUAAAGAUGCCUGGGGCUUCCCUGGUGGUGCAGUGGUUGAGAGUCUGCCUGCCGAUGCAGGGGACACAGGUUCGUGCCCCGGUCCGGGAAGAUCCCACAUGCCGCGGAGCGGCUGGGCCCGUGAGCCGUGGCCGCUGAGCCUGCGCUUCUGGAGCCUGUGCUCCGCAACGGGAGAGGCCACAACAGUGAGAGGCCCGCGUACCGCAAAAAAAAAAAAAAAAAAAAAAAAAAGAUACAUGUUCUAAAUAAAAAGAUUCUACUUAUGGAAUGCCUCUGAUAAAAUCACUUCUGUUUCCCCUACCACAGCAUGUUCUUUCCAGACAUGCAAGUAAGAAUGCAAAAUGAAAGAAGUCGAGGAAAAUGGCAUCUGAAAAGUACACGAAAUGAUCACUUUAGUCGGAACAGAAUGGGAACAAUUCUCUCACACAGAAUGGGAUUGGGGCAAAUCGGGGUUAGCCAGAAGGGCAAAAGGGCAGGAACCAGGAGAGAUUUACUCUCACACGGUUGCAGGAUGCUGUCACUUUCUUCCAGUACUGCUGCUGCCUCCCUGUGGUCUCCCGGGAAAUCUCUGGAGGAGCUGCCUCUGCUGCUCUGAUUUAUUUAGUAGACUGUCAUCGAAAGCAUUGACAUGAAAGCAUCUGAUUCCUUUUGUUAAAUCAAAGAACAGCACUUGACCAGUGCUUGCCUUCUUGGCAUGGCAUCUUGACGAACAGUCCUAUUUUUUUCCAACUGAAGAUCAGCCUCCAACUCGAUACGCUUUGUGCUCUCAGGGUCCUGAACUAUCUCUCGGAGUGCCUUUCUGAAUGGGAACGUUUUCACCAACAUCAUCGCCUGGAGACGUCUUCAGCCUGUCCCCGCCAUCCCCCUCCUUUUUAUUCUUUGUAUUCUUCAGCUCUCCUUACACUGGUCUCUCGCACGGUAGCAGUGUUGUCCUAGGCAUGCUCGGGUGUCUCCUAACCCCACCCAAGUGGACUUCCAGUGUCAUCAUUUUCGGUUUCUUAGCUGCACUUUCGUCGUUCUUGGGUAGUUCUUUUUUUUUUUUUUCCAUGGAUGAGGGAGACCGGGGCACCGGGGGGCGGGGUAGGGGGCAACACAGUUACACACUGCGUGUGACCCGGAAAACUGAUACACACCAGGCAAUCACCAACAGGCUCUGAAGGAGGAUCAAUCACUAGACACGCUGCACGCAGGUUUGUAAUUUGUGCGUUUAUUGCAGACUGGACAGGCAGCGGCAAACUUUGAUUAAAGGCUUAACUCUUUCAUUUUUGGCUUUUUAAUUGGCUACUCUGACAACUAGCAAUUCAGCUCUCUCUCCCAUCUCAGUUGAGCUCCGGACACUGGCUUUCUAUAAUUAAACUUACUAGAUUCAGGGAAAUAAAAGACAAGUUUAAAUAUUCUGACAGAGAAGCGGAACAUACCUUUAAGAAGAACAAAGCAAUUUUUGGGAAAAAAAUGAAAUAAAAAUUCUAAAAAUGAAAAGUACAUAACAUGGUGACCUCAGUGGAUGUGUUUGAAAGUGCUCACCUUAGAAACAGACAAUAAAAAAAUAGUGAACAGGAUAAGUACCAGAAAAGAAAUUCAGAAUAAUAAAGCCUGAAGAGGCAACAUUUUGAAAAAAAUAGUCAUACCCAGAGGGAGAGAUCAUCACAGUACAAUAAAAAAAUUCUAAAAUGCAUUUAAUUAGAAUCACAGAAGUUGAAGAGAGAAAUGAACAGAAGCAAUAUUUGAAUUAAAAUGACUGAGAACUUUAAAACCGAUGAAUGAAUACUCCACAGACUCAAUAAGCUCGUUAGAUUGCAAACACAGCCAAAAAAAAAAAAAAAAAAUCUACCUCCACAUUGAUUACAGUAAAA